GAUUCUUUGUGUUUUCGAUUUUUUUUUUUUGUUUUAUCUCUUGAUAAUGUUCGAAGUUUUUGGUUAUAUGUUCAAAGUUUUUCUCCAUUAUUUUCUAUACACAAGACGUGGAAAACCUACUGUUCAAAGGAAAGUGAAGAAGCAAUAUGGGAAAGAACAAGAGGAAGAGGAAGAAGAACAAGGGGAAGAGGAAGAAGAACCAGAGGAAGAGGAGGAAACGAAAGAAGAGGAGGAAACAGACGAAGUGGAGGAAGAAGAGAAAAAUAUGAGUAGAGGUCGAAAACAAGCUGUGAAAGAGAGGUAGGAGAAGUUUGAAAAAGAAAGACGAAAAAUAGCAUUAACAAGAACAACAACCAAAGCAACACCACCUGCUAAAGCAGCAAAGAAAAAGAAGAGAAAAAUAAUCGACGAUGAUCAAGAUUAUCAGGAAUAUGAUUCCGAUGAUUUAGAGCGAGCUAUAACUGUGAAACGGAAAGUGUCCCCUCUAGCAACAAUUACCAAAGAUAUUCCUACACGAAAAAAGGGGGAAAUGGACAUCACUAUCUUCAAGGAAAAAGAAGAAGAGGAAGAGGAAGAAAAAACUGGAGUUAGGGGAGGACAUGAGAAGUUCAUUAACUUCAUUUAUAUCCUCAAUAAUAAGAAGAAGCAGGCAGUUCGGAAUAUUGGUCUUGGACCAUUGCUAGAUUUUUCAGCUACCUACAUCAUACCAACAAUUCGUUAUAUGGCUGUUUAAUAGCUUUGAGGAAAACAACCAAUAUCUUUAUUUAUCGAAGAAUGACAAAAUAUUGCUUGAAUUUGAAGAUGUAGAAAAGAUACAUGGCCUUCCGAGGGGUGAUGUAGAAAUAGUGGCGGCAAAGUCUGACAAAGCUACUGGAGAAUUUUCUGAAUACAUGGCAAGGUAAAUUUACUUAUAUCUAUACCUAGAUGUUCAAUUUUUUUUUCUAU